rnacentral:rRNA from 1 species
ACGAACGCUGGCGGCGUGCUUAACACCUGCAAGUCGAACGGAAAGGCCCUGCUUUUGUGGGGUGCUCGAGUGGCGAACGGGUGAGUAACACGUGAGUAACCUGCCCUUGACUUUGGGAUAACUUCAGGAAACUGGGGCUAAUACCGGAUAGGAGCUCCUGCUGCAUGGUGGGGGUUGGAAAGUUUCGGCGGUUGGGGAUGGACUCGCGGCUUAUCAGCUUGUUGGUGGGGUAGUGGCUUACCAAGGCUUUGACGGGUAGCCGGCCUGAGAGGGUGACCGGCCACAUUGGGACUGGGAUACGGCCCAGACUCCUACGGGAGGCAGCAGUGGGGAAUAUUGCACAAUGGGCGGAAGCCUGAUGCAGCAACGCCGCGUGCGGGAUGACGGCCUUCGGGUUGUAAACCGCUUUCGCCUGUGACGAAGCGUGAGUGACGGUAAUGGGUAAAGAAGCACCGGCUAACUACGUG